rnacentral:rRNA from 1 species
UACAGAGGUCUCAAGCGUUGUUCGGAUUCAUUGGGCGUAAAGGGUGCGUAGGCGGCGGGGCAAGUCUGAUGUGAAAUCCCGGGGCUCAACCUCGGAACUGCAUUGGAUACUGCCUUGCUAGAGUACUGGAGAGGAAACUGGAAUUUACGGUGUAGCAGUGAAAUGCGUAGAGAUCGUAAGGAAGGCCAGUGGCGAAGGCGAGUUUCUGGACAGUUACUGACGCUGAGGCACGAAGGUCAGGGGAGCAAACGGG